rnacentral:rRNA from 1 species
UACGUAGGGUGCGAGCGUUGUCCGGAAUCAUUGGGCGUAAAGAGCGUGUAGGCGGCCCGGUAAGUCCGCUGUGAAAGUCCAGGGCUCAACCCUGGGAUGCCGGUGGAUACUGUCGGGCUCGAGUCCGGAAGAGGAGUGUGGAAUUCCUGGUGUAGCGGUGAAAUGCGCAGAUAUCAGGAGGAACACCAAUGGCGAUGGCAGCACUCUGGGACGUGACUGACGCUGAGACGCGAAAGCGUGGGGAGCGAACAGG